GUCCACGCUGUAAACGAUGGGUAUUAGGAUUGGUGGGAGUUGACCCCUGCCGAUCCGGAGCUAACGCGAUAAAUACCCCGCCUGGGAAGUACGGUCGCAAGACUAAAACUCAAAGGAAUUGACGGGAGCCCGCACAAGCGGUGGAUUAUGUGGUUUAAUUCGAAGCAACGCGCAGAACCUUACCUGGGUUUGACAUCCUUUGACAAACAUAGAGAUAUGUCUUUUCUAGCAAUAGAACAAAGAGACAGGUGCUGCAUGGCUGUCGU
rnacentral:rRNA from 1 species